UACGUAGGUGGCAAGCGUUGUCCGGAUUUACUGGGCGUAAAGAGCGCGCAGGCGGUCGCUCAAGUCGCGUGUGAAAGCCCCCGGCUCAACUGGGGAGGGUCACGCGAUACUGAUCGACUCGAAGGCAGGAGAGGGUAGUGGAAUUCCCGGUGUAGUGGUGAAAUGCGUAGAGAUCGGGAGGAAGGCCGGUGGCGAAGGCGGCGCUCGUGGAACGUUACUGACGCUGAGACACGAAAGCGUGGG
rnacentral:rRNA from 1 species